ACUGCUGACAAAUUUCCAUUAAAGAUGACUUUUCCAGGAUGAUAUCCACAGCAUCUUGAAGCACAAACCAUUAAUCGCAGCAGCAUUAUUUUGUCGUCUUCUGGGAAACAUGUAAAUAUCUUAUGUAGCUUCUGGUGGGCGGUACUAAAUGAAAAAUAUAUGAUCUUUAAACAAAAUAAUAACAAUUUAAACCGAUCGUCCUGUUGAAAAGUUUACACCCCCCCUGGAUCUUAACGCAUCGUGUCGCCUUCGUGAGCAUCGGUGAACGUCUGCACCUUUUGUAAUAGUCGUGGGCGAGUAUCUCGGUCGUCCUCGGUGUGAAAAGAUGGAUCUCGGCAUCAUGUAGUCGCUGUCGGAAAGGAAAGGGGUGAGAUAUGUAGAAGAUGCUGGAAAAGUAAAGAUUGUGCAGGACCUGGAGGAUUUUUCUGAAGAACAGUGGGCGGUUUAACUGCUCGGGACGAACAUGGGACUCGUGAAGAAUUUUCACAGAACAUAAACACAUCACGUCGUCGAUCAUCCACGUGACGACACACGUUGCAAGCAGGAAGUCCCCAAACCAAACGAUCCCCACAGUGGGAACCAGUCAGCUCUGGCUGAGGCUCUGUGACGACCUGAUAGAACGAGACACAUCCAGCGUGAUGCGGUUAUCUGACUGCUGGAGAUGGAUAGAUGGAGCCUUGUAAGCAGGCUGAUAAGGUGAUUGCUUGAGGUGCUCAGGGUUGGUUCGGGACAGCAGAACACACUGAAGGUGGCUCAGUGGAACAUUUUGCAAGUCUUGCUACAGUUUUUGAAGACAUACUGUAUCUGGAAUCCUUCAGCGUCCGUGAUCGAGAGAUGGGUGCACAUGCCUUGGCGGAAGAGUGGAGGAACAUCUCACAACAAGAACUGACCAAUCUGGUGCAGUCCAUGAGGAUGAGAUGCACUGUAGUACUUAAAGCAGCUGGAGGCCACCAAACACUCACUGUUACUUUUAAUAUUGACCCCCCACCUUUGUUCAGGGACUCGUUAUUCCAUUUCUGUUCCUCAAAUGUCUGUGAAACUUGUUCAGUUUAUGUCUCGGUUGUUCGAUCUUUUUAUGCUGAUACAAAUAUUGACACACGUUAAGAAAUUUUCAGGAAAUAAAAGCAGUUGAAUGUGAGAGGACGUUUCUUUUUUUUGGCUGAAUAUAGCGGCUAUAAACAGUCGUUCUCUCCCCAAGCGCUCUUUACUCUCACAAAAAUAAAGUCAGUCAUAUUACAGAGAAACCAGGAAGUGGUCUGUUGUGGAUAUUUUCCUGUGGCAAAGCACU